rnacentral:rRNA from 1 species
CAGUAGCCGCGGUAAUACGAACCGUGCGAACGUUAUUCGGAAUCACUGGGCGUAAAGCGUGCGUAGGUGGUGGUUUAAGUCCGUUGUGAAAGCCCUGGGCUCAACCUGGGAAUUGCAGUGGAUACUGGAUCACUAGAGUGUGGUAGAGGAUAGUGGAAUUUCCGGUGUAGCAGUGAAAUGCGUAGAGAUCGGAAGGAACAUCUGUGGCGAAGGCGACUAUCUGGGCCAACACUGACACUGAGGCACGAAAGCGUGGGGAGCAAACAGGAUUAGAUACCCCCGUAGUCCCUGUCUCUUAUAC